rnacentral:piRNA from 1 species
UNGGACUGCCACCGUGCUACCUUCUCUGGU